rnacentral:rRNA from 1 species
GACGAACGCUGGCGGCGUGCCUAACACAUGCAAGUCGAACGGAAAGGCCCUGCUUUCGUCUGGUGCUCGAGUGGCGAACGGGUGUGUUACACGUGAGUAACCUGCCCUUGACUUUGGGAUAACUUCAGGCAACUGGGGCUAAUACCUGAUACGAGCUCCUGCUGCAUGGUGGGGGUUGGAGAGUUUCGGCGGUUGGGGAUGGACUCGCGGCUUAUCAGCUUGUUGGUGGGGUAGUGGCGUACCAAGGCUUUGACGGGUAGCCGGCCUGGGAGGGUGACCGGGCACAUUAGGACUGAGGUACGGCCCAGAGUCCUACGGGAGGCAGCAGUGGGGAAUCUUGCACAAUGGGCGCAAGCCUGAUGCAGAAACGCCGCGUGCGGGAUGACGGCCUUCGGGUUGUAAACCGCAUUAACCUGUGACGAAGCGUGAGUGACGGUAAUGAGUAAAGAAGCACCGGCUAACUACGUG